UACAGUGCAAUUAAAAAUUUACACUCACGCACCAAGCCAGGUUUAAGUACCAAUGAAACCGAGCCACAAGCACCCCCCCACACACAAACCACCCCGAGAUGUUGCAAGUUAGGGCUGACAGUCCUACUCGACUCCCCACUUGUAGGAAAGGAGGCAGGAGGGGAGGAGACACCCAGACACAGCCCGCACCAGCAGGGCCCAAGUGGAGACGGAAAUGUGAGCCCUCACUUUGUGUGUCCAGGCUUUUGCCUACAGAACACAACUUCAGCUUGUAUCUAUCAUUCUUGCUUGUGAUUUUUAUCAUUUUCGUGUGUCUUCUACCCAAUUCCUUAUUCCACUAGAUUCAAUUUCACUCUCACAGUUAUACUGGGGAGGGGGCGCGAAGGGACAGCUCCUCCGAGAGGAGCGAAAUAGGCCUCUCUGUACAGAUCUACAUCCACAGAUUUGUUGGGAGGGCCUGGAGCCUGCUGCAUCCCGCCAUUUCCCCCCAGCGGUGUAAGUGACUUCCUAAUUGUCGCUCUGGCCUCUGACCCGGGGGGUAAUACAAGUGCCACUCACGCUAGAGGCUUCUGGUGGUAAUUGAGGGCACCCUUUGUACGGUUUCGCCAGCGCUUAGAUACCAGGUUAACCCAGUUGUCAAAUAUGACUAAACAGUGGGAUGUGCUGAUUAUCUGCCGGGUUUUGCUGUGGGCUGGCAUGGGGGUGGGAGGCAUCAGCCCAUACAACACGCUGCACGAAGCCGCUUAUUUUCUCACUGUAACAACUUUGGAAACAGAGACCGGCGCGAGCGGCGUCCGCCCCCACCUCCACCUCCGCUGAAGCUGCAGCUUGCUCGGCUGUUUGUUUAACCCGGUGAAGAUUUGCAUGUCGCGUUUCAUCCUGGAGUGGAGUUUUCUUGUCCCAGCUCCAACCCACUCCCAUUCCAGACCACCAGGGCCUAGAGGCUCGUCCGUAGGGCAAGUGCGCUGUUUUAAGAGGCUGGAAGCAUCCUGAAGUCCUCCCUGGACCUUGUCAGUGUGAAAAGAGGCGUCCUCAAGCAGACCAGGGUGGCGAAAGCACCAAGGAAAUUAUGACAGAGAAAGAGAAGGAACAGAGGAGAAGAGAAAGAGAAGGAACAGAGGAGAAGAGAACGAGAAGGCUCGUGUGGCUGUCAAUGAAAACUGAGACCGGAGCGACCAUGCCAUCUAGAUUUUCUUCCUGGAUUCUGUAGUCGCCCAAACUCAG
rnacentral:lncRNA from 1 species